AUGAACGCUGGCGGCGUGCCUAAUACAUGCAAGUCGAGCGAACAGACGAGGAGCUUGCUCCUCUGACGUUAGCGGCGGACGGGUGAGUAACACGUGGAUAACCUACCUAUAAGACUGGGAUAACUUCGGGAAACCGGAGCUAAUACCGGAUAAUAUAUUGAACCGCAUGGUUCAAUAGUGAAAGACGGUUUUGCUGUCACUUAUAGAUGGAUCCGCGCCGCAUUAGCUAGUUGGUAAGGUAACGGCUUACCAAGGCAACGAUGCGUAGCCGACCUGAGAGGGUGUGCGGCCACCCUGGACCUGAGACACGGUCCCGUCUCCUCCGGGACGCAGCAGUCGGGAAUCUUCCGCAAUGGGCGAUAGCUUGACGUAGCAACGCCGCGUGAGUGAUGAAGGUCUUCGGUUCGUAAAACUCUGUUAUUAGGGAAGAACAAAUGUGUAUGUAACUGUGCACGUCUUGACGGUACCUAAUCAGCAAGCCACGGCUAACUCCGU
rnacentral:rRNA from 1 species